rnacentral:rRNA from 1 species
CCUACGGGUGGCUGCAGUGGGGAAUAUUGGACAAUGGGGGCAACCCUGAUCCAGCCAUGCCGCGUGUGUGAAGAAGGCCCUCGGGUUGUAAAGCACUUUCAGUGAGGAAGAACGCCUGGUGGUUAAUACCCAUCAGGAAAGACAUCACUCACAGAAGAAGCACCGGCUAACUCCGUGCCAGCAGCCGCGGUAAUACGGAGGGUGCGAGCGUUAAUCGGAAUUACUGGGCGUAAAGCGCGCGUAGGUGACUUGAUAAGCCGGUUGUGAAAGCCCCGGGCUCAACCUGGGAACGGCAUCCGGAACUGUCAAGCUAGAGUGCAGGAGAGGAAGGUAGAAUUCCCGGUGUAGCGGUGAAAUGCGUAGAGAUCGGGAGGAAUACCAGUGGCGAAGGCGGCCUUCUGGACUGACACUGACACUGAGGUGCGAAAGCGUGGGUAGCAAACAGGAUUAGAUACCCGAGUAGUC